UCCCACUGAUUAUUAAAAUUAUAUUUUGGUGUUUUAAUAACUCUAUAAGGGACAUGCAGAUAAAGCCCAGAGAUACACAUCGGUGUGGAUUCUUGUUCAACCCCAAUAAAUAUUGAUAUUACUUCAGACAUGUACUUAUUGGUUCAUGAAAUGUAAGUGGAAUUCACACUGGAGAUGGGUCUGGGUGUCGCAAUGAGGUCUGCACCUCUUUGGAAGCCAAGUGCAGGGAUCUUUUGAUCUUUAUAAAGUCUGAGUUUGGAGCAAGCUUCUUCAGAGUGCAGAGUGAUUGGGAAUAUCAAGGAGGAGGUGUGGGGUGGUUAUGAUACACUCCUGUCUAAUUCCUUCUGGAUGCUUCCAAGGACCAGGGUAGAAUUGAAACUUGCAAUCUUCAUGGAAUCUUAUUAAUAUUAGAUCAUAGGGCGGUAGAUACUCAGGAUUGGCAUUCAAGAAUUUUAAGUCAUUUAUUCACCAAGCCUGGCUGCUGAUCAGAAUCCCCUUGGGAAGCUUUGCAAACAUUCACAUUUCCUACUGCUUCUUUGAGGACCUGACUGGGCAGGUAGGUGGGUUUGAUCCAGCGCCAUAGGUGGUCUGUCCACUCCAGUGUUUCUGUUUGUCUGGGGAUGCCAUGAGGAAUAUUUUCACCUCCUCGUUCCUACUCUCCCAUGUCUCUCUUGGGGCUCUGUCUCCCAAACUUCCUUCCACUGAAAGAGUCUGCAGAGGUGUUUUCUACAGGUUGGCAUUCACCGGAUUGGGAACAUUGACACAUUCCUGCCCUCCAUAGCAGCAUGGGCUCCAACGUCCCCAGCAGUGCCCAGCCAGCCUUGCCUCCCUGCUUCUAGAAGCUGAGCUCACCCCAGGACUUCUCAGAUGUCUAGAACAUUAUUCCCCAGGGGAGAGAUAGGUGCCCCAGGAGCUAGAUGGAGACAUUAUAUUAUCUACCUGAAUGAAGCAAGAUAUUUGGAAGGGUCCACUUGAUGUGGCCAUUUCAUGAGGCUGUUUUGCUAUAGGAAUUGUAUUGGUUAGGCUCUGGCAGGAGACAGGACACCCUCAAAUUGGGUCACUUGAAGAGAAUUUAGCAGAUGUGCCAUCUGCAAAGGGGCGAGGAGGGAGAAGGGUCAUCCUAAGAGAUAGUGCAGUGUGCUGGACUCGGGGCCUGCAGUCGAGAGGGGAGGAAGAGCUCCCUGGGAUGGGGAUGCAGAGAGAGCUGGGGAUGUGGGGAUGUAACCCACCUGCCUGUGGUGAGCCUGGGAGAGAGUGCUGGGGGGGAAAUACCCCACCCACCUCACUCUCCUUCCCACACAGCUGAGCAGCAGCAGCGGGUCUCCUGUGGCUCUGCAAGGUGCACAGCGCAGCAGGUGCUCACAAGAGGCCAAGGGGCAGCACCUCUGUAGAGGGUAUGGCCUUUGACAUGGCCUGGAUGGGGUGGCAGUGGAAUUUGGGCUAGUGGAGCAGCAGACUGGGGUCCAGGAGUUGAGGGAUGACACUUGAGCUGGGUGGAGGCAGUUUUCAGGUUUGGAGUCAGGGUGGAUAAGGCCAGGAGCUGGGGUCUGGAUUGGACAGAGGCCCAGGCUGGACCAGAUAGGAGGGUAGGGAGGGCUGGUUCCUGUCCCUCACGGUGAAGGGUCUUUGAUUCCACAGGACACAAGCGUCCACCGACGGGGUGAAGAGAGGAGAGCCUGGUUCUGGGAAGACGACUGCGGUGAGAUGGAUUGGACUGGGGAGAUGCUGGAGAUGGGGACCUGUUGGGGUUACUGUGUUGUUCAGGUGAGAAGUUAAGAGUGUCCAGAUCCCAGUGGAGAGAAGAAUGGAGGAAGAAGUCCUGAGGCUCUUGCAGAGGAAGGACAGGACUGGAUAACAGGCAUCACGGGGGAGGAGAUGAAAAGAAUCCCUGGCCCUGAGCCAGGUGGCUCCAGGAAAAUCAGAUGCAGCUGGGCUGGUUGACAUCACUGUUACCUCCCUCAUCCUUCCCAUACCCAAAGAAAGUCCUGGUGGAUUUUCCUCUCACUGGCAUGGAAACUGAGGCACAGGGAGGGGGCGAGCCCAGCCGCGACAGGGUGGAGCCAGAUGAUUCCCCUCCAGGCCGGUGUACAUUUUGCCGAGCGUGAGCGUGGGUCCCAUCGCUCCAUGGUGCCACUGGCCACAGUUCACCUCCAACACAGUCAGGUGGGACUGGAAGAGUUGAGGCAGGGCCAAAGGAAAAUGAAAUAAGGUAGGAAGAGCCAGGUCUGCCAGGCUGGGGCUGGCCCCACUGCUGGGACGUCCUGGGCAGUGGACAAAGAUGUUAUGUCAAGGGGUUCACGGACUAUUCUGGCACAGUGGCCACAGUUCCUUUAGUCGUUCAAAUACAGGCUCUGGGGGCACCUCCAAUGAGAUGGGCCUUGUGCUCUGGGCUAGGGGAGCAGGUGAACAAAUCAUACCCUGUGCCCCUGGGAGGUCACAGGUGAAAGAGGCAGACAGAUAUGGAGAUGAUCAAGUACAUGAAAGCCUCCUAGAGUCGCCGAAAGCCCACUUUACAGAGACUGUCUGCCCUGUGAAAUGACCAUUCACACACGUGCAUGGAUUAAACAUGUAUACAUGCCCAGGAGCAUGGAUCAGACAGUUAAAGUCCCGCUCCAAGGAGCUUCCAUUUCAGUAAGUGAAGGAGCUAGCCAUUAAUCGAAGCAUCACUAGUAAGUGCUGGAGAUGCUGUUAGAAGUGAGAUCUUCCCUGGUCAGGAAGGCCAUGGGUGGAGAUGUGAAGGUAAGAAGGCCAGGUAGGGCAGGGACAUCACUAGAGGGGAGAGCGCAGGUGCAAAGGGCCUGAGGGAGGGGCCCUGGAGGUGGCCAUUCUGGCUGGAGUGGUGAGAGUGGUAGUUGAGUGGCAGGAGGUGUGCUGGAGGGGUGGGCUGGAAGGGCAUUAUCCCACCCACCAGGGAUCCCACACCACCUGGUGCUUACUGGAAACCCCCUGGCAUCCUCUCCCACCCUGGCCCUUGGCUGUUGUGACCUGGUGAGAUCAGGCCUGUUAAAUGAGUGGCUGGGCCUGUGACCCAGGGACAUCCUGGGUGGACUCAGGGAUGGAGUGAGAAAGAGGGAAAGAAUAGAAAGGUAGCAAACACCAAAUGCCUUGAUGCCAAAAUGAUGGGCAUCCGGGCCUGAGUAAAGGUUCCGUCUCUACCCCAAAAGCACUGGUAGAAGGACCCUAUCCCGCUUUAGGUGGGGUGUGUGCGCCCUGUGACCAGAUUAGCAUUUGAAAAGGAUGACACUGAUGGGAGCAGUAAGAGCAGAAGCUUCUGGAGGCCUGAGUUGUGGUAUUUUCUAUCCAAAGCUGUUUCCAGAUGUGUUUUGCGACAAUGCCCAUUCAUCUAUUACUACCUGCUCUGCCCUGGAGGAGAAGCAAUGGAGGUGUUCUCUGCCUCCCCUCUCAGUCCACCAGCAUUUGAUGCCAACUAUGAAAGGACUGUGCCUGGUACUCUGGGGCCAGCCCUGUGUCCUCAGGAAGCUCACAGCCCAGCCGGCAUGGCCUGGGGGCCCACCUGGCAGUGAAAAUGGUGUUCCCUGCACAUCCUGGGAGCUCUAAACCAAUCAUGGAGUCUAGGGAAGGAUUUCUGCCUGGGCUGGUGCUUGGGUCUUAUCUGGGUGCAGAAGGCAAGGAAGAGUGUACCAAAUAGAGGGAACAGUGAACUUGGAAACGGGGAGACUUUGGAGAACGUGGUAUCUGAGGAAGGUGGUUAGGUGCUGUUAGAAAGAGAAAUGCGAGUAGGCGGUGGGGGUGGAGCAAUGCCCCGGCCAAGGUGGGCUGUUUGAAAAGGCCCGGGACCUGGCAGGCGGGGUGGCGGGCAAUGGGGCAGGACGCAGCCUGGGCCUGCUCCAGGCGGCGGGGCGCUUCCCACAGGUGGCCCUUUGAUCUCACAACAAAUGGCCUAUUCAGCAUCUCCAAGACUGGGCCAGCUCCUGGCAGCCAAGGUGGGAAGGUGGGAAAACACAAGGGGAUUGUCUGCCCAGUUCCAAAGCUGGGAAUUUGCUCAGCAACACUGCACACUCAGGGAGUAGCCAGGUUCUAGCAGUCGUCAGGAUGGCUAUUCGCCAAGGACUCCCCUGACAGGCUGCAGGCAGACCCUGGGGGCUGGGAUGUCCAGGCUCUUUUGCCUGCCUUUGCAGGUCCUGGAGCAGGAGUGGGGUGUGGGAUGGAGGUAGGGAUUGCUUGGAUUGGGGCUUUGGGUGCAGUUGUUCAUAUGAGCACAGACCUGAGCAAGACAGACCCUUCAGCAUGGCAGGGCGAACCGGCAGCCUUGCCACAGAGCCCCCAGAAAAACUGACGGAUGCGAACUUCCUUCUUCUGCUGGAAACUUUUUUCUGUGGGUGAAGGCCCAUUUGUGGAGAGAGGCAAGGUUGGAUAUUGUGAUCCUUCAUACUGAAGAAACUGGGUUCUCCUCCCCACCCUCCACCUGCCAUUCCAAAUGAAGCCAACACUAAAACUAUAAGAGACUCUUUUAUUUUAUUGAAGUGACACCAAACAUGAUGGAUGCUGAAAACAAAACAGCUUCUUUAUAGACUUUUGGGGUCUUUCUCUUUAUUAAUUUAUUACAGGUGUGUUUUCUGGUGUCCCAAGCCCACAUUUGGAAGGUCCGCUGGAUAAGUGGUGAUGCUGGAGAAAGAUCUCUUUGUAGACUGCCCAGUUCAACAGAGAAAGCUCGCUUGGGGGCUGACAGGUGUUCUGGGGCAGUGUGGGCAGGUCAAGUGUGGACGCACAGUCCUGGCCUUUGACCUUCCUGGCUUCACCAAGCUGUAUGUACUCAGGAAAGUUGCACAGCCACUCUGAACCUUGAUCUUUUCCUCUGGUAAUAACUGGCAUUCAUGCCCGUUUGCAGUGUUGCUGUGAACCCGAUCAAGUGUGUUGAUACACACAGGAUGGUGUGUGUUCUCACAGCAGCUACUCAGUGAACAUUAGUUUCCCAUCUCUCAAGAAAGAAAAGUUGGCUUAGAAAUCAACUUUAAAAUAUUUUUGUUGUUUGUUUAAGAAUGGCUCAAAAGUCACAAAAUUAUUUAGAAAUUGUUUUCACUGAGUUCAGAAAUCCGGGAGACUACUUAAUCAACAGUCUGUUUUCUUCCCCAUAGCCUCAUG